GGGUUGUGAGGUUAAGCGACUAAGCGUACACGGUGGAUGCCCUGGCAGUCAGAGGCGAUGAAGGACGUGCUAAUCUGCGAAAAGCGCCGGCGAGGUGAUAUGAACCUUUGACCCGGCGAUGUCCGAAUGGGGAAACCCAGUGUGAUCCGUCACACUAUCAUUAACUGAAUCCAUAGGUUAAUGAGGCGAACCGGGGGAACUGAAACAUCUAAGUACCCCGAGGAAAAGAAAUCAACCGAGAUUCCCCCAGUAGCGGCGAGCGAACGGGGAGGAGCCCAGAGUCUGAAUCAGCGCGUGUGUUAGUGGAACGGUCUGGAAAGUCCGGCGAUACAGGGUGACAGCCCCGUACACGAAAAUGCACACGCUGUGAACUCGAAGAGUAGGGCGGGACACGUGGUAUCCUGUCUGAAUAUGGGGGGACCAUCCUCCAAGGCUAAAUACUCCUGACUGACCGAUAGUGAACCAGUACCGUGAGGGAAAGGCGAAAAGAACCCCGGCGAGGGGAGUGAAAAAGAACCUGAAACCGUGUACGUACAAGCAGUGGGAGCCUCUUUAAUGGGGUGACUGCGUACCUUUUGUAUAAUGGGUCAGCGACUUAUAUUCUGUAGCAAGGUUAACCGAAUAGGGGAGCCGAAGGGAAACCGAGUCUUAACUGGGCGUUAAGUUGCAGGGUAUAGACCCGAAACCCGGUGAUCUAGCCAUGGGCAGGUUGAAGGUUGGGUAACACUAACUGGAGGACCGAACCGACUAAUGUUGAAAAAUUAGCGGAUGACUUGUGGCUGGGGGUGAAAGGCCAAUCAAACCGGGAGAUAGCUGGUUCUCCCCGAAAGCUAUUUAGGUAGCGCCUCGUGAACUCAUCUUCGGGGGUAGAGCACUGUUUCGGCUAGGGGGUCAUCCCGACUUACCAACCCGAUGCAAACUGCGAAUACCGAAGAAUGUUAUCACGGGAGACACACGGCGGGUGCUAACGUCCGUCGUGAAGAGGGAAACAACCCAGACCGCCAGCUAAGGUCCCAAAGUCAUGGUUAAGUGGGAAACGAUGUGGGAAGGCACAGACAGCCAGGAUGUUGGCUUAGAAGCAGCCAUCAUUUAAAGAAAGCGUAAUAGCUCACUGGUCGAGUCGGCCUGCGCGGAAGAUGUAACGGGGCUAAACCAUGCACCGAAGCUGCGGCAGCGACACUAUGUGUUGUUGGGUAGGGGAGCGUUCUGUAAGCCGUUGAAGGUGGCCUGUGAGGGUUGCUGGAGGUAUCAGAAGUGCGAAUGCUGACAUAAGUAACGAUAAAGCGGGUGAAAAGCCCGCUCGCCGGAAGACCAAGGGUUCCUGUCCAACGUUAAUCGGGGCAGGGUGAGUCGACCCCUAAGGCGAGGCCGAAAGGCGUAGUCGAUGGGAAACAGGUUAAUAUUCCUGUACUUGGUGUUACUGCGAAGGGGGGACGGAGAAGGCUAUGUCAUCCGGGCGACGGUCGUCCCGGUUUAAGCGUGUAGGUGUGUGUUCCAGGCAAAUCCGGAGCACUUUAACACUGAGGCGUGAUGACGAGGCACUACGGUGCUGAAGUGACAGAUGCCCUGCUUCCAGGAAAAGCCUCUAAGCAUCAGGUAACACGAAAUCGUACCCCAAACCGACACAGGUGGUCAGGUAGAGAAUACCAAGGCGCUUGAGAGAACUCGGGUGAAGGAACUAGGCAAAAUGGUGCCGUAACUUCGGGAGAAGGCACGCUGAUAUGUAGGUGAAGCCCCUGCGGGUGGAGCUGAAAUCAGUCGAAGAUACCAGCUGGCUGCAACUGUUUAUUAAAAACACAGCACUGUGCAAACACGAAAGUGGACGUAUACGGUGUGACGCCUGCCCGGUGCCGGAAGGUUAAUUGAUGGGGUUAUCCGUAAGGAGAAGCUCUUGAUCGAAGCCCCGGUAAACGGCGGCCGUAACUAUAACGGUCCUAAGGUAGCGAAAUUCCUUGUCGGGUAAGUUCCGACCUGCACGAAUGGCGUAAUGAUGGCCAGGCUGUCUCCACCCGAGACUCAGUGAAAUUGAACUCGCUGUGAAGAUGCAGUGUACCCGCGGCAAGACGGAAAGACCCCGUGAACCUUUACUAUAGCUUGACACUGAACAUUGAGCCUUGAUGUGUAGGAUAGGUGGGAGGCUUUGAAGUGUGGACGCCAGUCUGCAUGGAGCCAACCUUGAAAUACCACCCUUUAAUGUUUGAUGUUCUAACGUGGACCCGUAAUCCGGGUUGCGGACAGUGUCUGGUGGGUAGUUUGACUGGGGCGGUCUCCUCCCAAAGAGUAACGGAGGAGCACGAAGGUUGGCUAAUCCUGGUCGGACAUCAGGAGGUUAGUGCAAUGGCAUAAGCCAGCUUGACUGCGAGCGUGACGGCGCGAGCAGGUGCGAAAGCAGGUCAUAGUGAUCCGGUGGUUCUGAAUGGAAGGGCCAUCGCUCAACGGAUAAAAGGUACUCCGGGGAUAACAGGCUGAUACCGCCCAAGAGUUCAUAUCGACGGCGGUGUUUGGCACCUCGAUGUCGGCUCAUCACAUCCUGGGGCUGAAGUAGGUCCCAAGGGUAUGGCUGUUCGCCAUUUAAAGUGGUACGCGAGCUGGGUUUAGAACGUCGUGAGACAGUUCGGUCCCUAUCUGCCGUGGGCGCUGGAGAAUUGAGGGGGGCUGCUCCUAGUACGAGAGGACCGGAGUGGACGCAUCACUGGUGUUCGGGUUGUCAUGCCAAUGGCAUUGCCCGGUAGCUAAAUGCGGAAGAGAUAAGUGCUGAAAGCAUCUAAGCACGAAACUUGCCCCGAGAUGAGUUCUCCCUGACUCCUUGAGAGUCCUGAAGGAACGUUGAAGACGACGACGUUGAUAGGCCGGGUGUGUAAGCGCAGCGAUGCGUUGAGCUAACCGGUACUAAUGAACCGUGAGGCUUAACCUUACAACGCCGAAG
rnacentral:rRNA from 1 species